AAGACUAUAGACCUGCGGAGUACCUGCGGAGGGAUCAUUACUGAAUGGCCUUUUUGGCCUUCAAACCCCUCAAACCUGUGGAAGAGAAAAUGUGUUUCGGCGCCCAUGGGCGCCGCCUUUAAUGCAAAUGUCAGUCUUGUGUCUGAAGUAAAUUAAAGAUUAAAACUUUCAACAACGGAUCUCU
rnacentral:misc_RNA from 1 species